rfam:Chlorocebus sabaeus isolate 1994-021 chromosome 8, whole genome shotgun sequence.
UCAUAGGUGCUUUUAAGCACCAUUUUAUACAAAGGGGCCAUCCAUGU